AAAGUCGUAACAAGGUUUCCGUAGGUGAACCUGCGGAAGGAUCAUUACUGAAUGACGUGCGUCCUGGUUGUGGUAGACCAUUUCCUCCCAUCAGAUUUGGUCAGAAUGUCGGACCAGCCGGGAUUUGGUCUACCAUGCCUUUCACCAAGCAAACCUGUCGUUGUAUGUAUGGCAUUACAGUACAUAAACAUAAAUAUAACUUUCAACAACGGAUCUCUUGGCUCUC
rnacentral:misc_RNA from 1 species